UACGAAGGGGGCUAGCGUUGCUCGGAAUCACUGGGCGUAAAGCGCACGUAGGCGGAUCUUUAAGUCAGGGGUGAAAUCCUGGAGCUCAACUCCAGAACUGCCUUUGAUACUGGGGAUCUCGAGUCCGGAAGAGGUGAGUGGAACUGCGAGUGUAGAGGUGAAAUUCGUAGAUAUUCGCAAGAACACCAGUGGCGAAGGCGGCUCACUGGCCCGGUACUGACGCUGAGGCACGAAAGCGUGGGGAGCAAACAGG
rnacentral:rRNA from 1 species